rnacentral:tRNA from 1 species
AUUAAAGUGGCAGAAAAAAAAAUGCAAGGAAUUUAAGCUUCCUUUAUGAACUUAUUCCUUUAAUA